UACGAAGGGGGGCUAGCGUUGCUCGGAAUCACUGGGCGUAAAGGGUGCGUAGGCGGGUCUUUUAAGUCAGAGGUGAAAUCCUGGAGCUCAACUCCAGAACUGCCUUUGAUACUGAGGAUCUUGAGUUCGGGAGAGGUGAGUGGAACUGCGAGUGUAGAGGUGAAAUUCGUAGAUAUUCGCAAGAACACCAGUGGCGAAGGCGGCUCACUGGCCCGAUACUGACGCUGAGGCACGAAAGCGUGGGUAGCA
rnacentral:rRNA from 1 species